GAAAAACCGCCCUCAUGAUUCUAUUACCUCUACCUGGUCCGGCACUUUACAAGUGGAGAUUAUUACAAUUCAGGAUGAGAUUUUAGAAUCAUCUCUCCUGCCAAGGAAGUAGUGAAGCUGAUGAGAAGUGAGCACCUUUGUGUUUACUUUGAAGUGCCAGAACCCUGCAGUAUAACCUCAACCUUAGUGCAAGUGAUGCUGGGAAAUAUCUUCCUUCAUAACCACAAGGAGAAAUAUAGCAUAAGAUUCGAGAAUACCACAGCAUUACCAUUGCAACUUUACUUUUUGCAGAAGCCAAGAGGAUAAAGAAGAUUAUCUUACUGAAUGACAACCCCCACAUCUCAUGAAACUGCAGAAUUGUAUGAAUAUUUCACACAUAAGAACUUGUGGCCUAAGAAAAUAACAAAAUAACUAGAAAACAUG